rnacentral:rRNA from 1 species
UGGGUAGGGGAGCGUCGUGUGCCGGGUGAAGCAGCCGCGGAAGCGAGUUGUGGACGGUUCACGAGUGAGAAUGCAGGCAUGAGUAGCGAUACAAACGUGAGAAACGUUUGCGCCGAUUGACUAAGGGUUCCUGGGUCAAGCUGAUCUGCCCAGGGUAAGUCGGGACCUAAGGCGAGGCCGACAGGCGUAGUCGAUGGAUAACCGGUUGAUAUUCCGGUACCCGCUGUGAAGCGUCAAACAUCGAGCAUCGUGAUGCUAAGGCCGUGAAGCCGCCCUGAUCUCUUCGGAGUUGAGGGGAGUGGUGGAGCCGCUGAACCAAGCGGUUAGUAGGUGAGUGAUGGGGUGACGCAGGAAGGUAGUCCAGCCCGGGCGGUGGUUGUCCCGGGGUAAGGGUGUAGGACGUUGGGUAGGUAAAUCCGCCUGACAUGUGUCUGAGACCUGAUGCCGAGCCGAUUGUGGUGAAGUGGAUGAUCCUAUGCUGUCGAGAAAAGCCUCUAGCGAGUUUCAUGGCGGCCCGUACCCUAAACCGACUCAGGUGGUCAGGUAGAGAAUACCGAGGCGUUCGGGUGAACUAUGGUUAAGGAACUCGGCAAAAUGCCCCCGUAACUUCGGGAGAAGGGGGGCCAUUUCUGGUGACCGGAUUUACUCCGUGAGCUGGGGGUGGCCGCAGAGACCAGCGAGAAGCGACUGUUUACUAAAAACACAGGUCCGUGCGAAGCCGUAAGGCGAUGUAUACGGACUGACGCCUGCCCGGUGCUGGAACGUUAAGGGGACCGGUUAGCUCCAUUUCGGUGGGGCGAAGCUGAGAACUUAAGCGCCAGUAAACGGCGGUGGUAACUAUAACCAUCCUAAGGUAGCGAAAUUCCUUGUCGGGUAAGUUCCGACCUGCACGAAUGGCGUAACGACUUCUUGACUGUCUCAACCAUAGGCCCGGUGAAAUUGCACUACGAGUAAAGAUGCUCGUUUCGCGCAGCAGGACGGAAAGACCCCGGGACCUUUACUACAGUUUGAUAUUGGUGUUCGGUUCGGCUUGUGUAGGAUAGCUGGGAGACUUUGAAGCUCGCACGCCAGUGUGGGUGGAGUCGUCGUUGAAAUACCAGUCUGGUCGUGCUGGAUGUCUAACCUGGGUCCGUGAUCCGGAUCAGGGACAGUGUCUGAUGGGUAGUUUAACUGGGGCGGUUGCCUCCUAAAGAGUAACGGAGGCGCCCAAAGGUUCCCUCAGCCUGGUUGGCAAUCAGGUGUUGAGUGUAAGUGCACAAGGGAGCUUGACUGUGAGACCGACGGGUCGAGCAGGGACGAAAGUCGGGACUAGUGAUCCGGCGGUGGCUUGUGGAAGCGCCGUCGCUCAACGGAUAAAAGGUACCCCGGGGAUAACAGGCUGAUCUUCCCCAAGAGUCCAUAUCGACGGGAUGGUUUGGCACCUCGAUGUCGGCUCGUCGCAUCCUGGGGCUGGAGUCGGUCCCAAGGGUUGGGCUGUUCGCCCAUUAAAGCGGUACGCGAGCUGGGUUUAGAACGUCGUGAGACAGUUCGGUCCCUAUCCGCUGUGCGCGUAGGAGUCUUGAGAAGGGCUGUCCCUAGUACGAGAGGACCGGGACGGACGAACCUCUGGUGUGCCAGUUGUCCUGCCAAGGGCAUGGCUGGUUGGCUACGUUCGGGAGGGAUAACCGCUGAAAGCAUCUAAGCGGGAAGCCUGCUUCGAGAUGAGGACUCCCACCCACUUGA